rnacentral:rRNA from 1 species
GUGAACGCUGGCGGUAGGCCUAACACAUGCAAGUCGAACGGCAGCACAGUAAGAGCUUGCUCUUACGGGUGGCGAGUGGCGGACGGGUGAGGAAUACAUCGGAAUCUACUUUUUCGUGGGGGAUAACGUAGGGAAACUUACGCUAAUACCGCAUACGACCUACGGGUGAAAGCAGGGGAUCUUCGGACCUUGCGCGAUUGAAUGAGCCGAUGUCGGAUUAGCUAGUUGGCGGGGUAAAGGCCCACCAAGGCGACGAUCCGUAGCUGGUCUGAGAGGAUGAUCAGCCACACUGGAACUGAGACACGGUCCAGACUCCUACGGGAGGCAGCAGUGGGGAAUAUUGGACAAUGGGCGCAAGCCUGAUCCAGCCAUACCGCGUGGGUGAAGAAGGCCUUCGGGUUGUAAAGCCCUUUUGUUGGGAAAGAAAAGCAGCAGGUUAAUACCCCGCUGUUCUGACGGUACCCAAAGAGUAAGCACCGGCUAACUUCGUG